GGGAAGAUGGCCGAGCGGUUAAGGCGCCACGUUAAGGUCUUUGAGUCUUUAAUUAUCAUCUGUGUGUUUAAUCCCCGGAUUCCGUGGUUCGAAAGAGCGUGGGUUCGAUUCCCACUCUUCUCA